GAUGAACGCUGGCGGCGUGCCUAAUACAUGCAAGUCGAGCGAACAGACGAGGAGCUUGCUCCUCUGACGUUAGCGGCGGACGGGUGAGUAACACGUGGAUAACCGACUUAUAAGACUGGGAUAACUUCGGGAAACCGGAGCUAAUACCGGAUAAUAUAUUGAACCACAUGGUUCACUAGUGAAAAACGGUUUUGCUGUCACUUGUAGAUGGAUCCGCGCCGCAGUAGCUAGUUGGUAAGGUAACAGCGUACCAAGGCAACGAUGCGUAGCCGACCUGAGAGGGUGAUCGGCCACACUGGAACGGAGACACGGUCCAGACUCCUACGGGAGGCAGCAGUGGGGAGUCUUCCGCAAUGGGCGAAAGCCUGACGGAGCAACGCCGCGUGAGUGAUGAAGGUCUUCGGAUCGUGAAUCUCUGUUAUUAGGGAAGAAAAAAUGUGUAAGUAACUAUGCACGUCGAGACGGUAACUAAUCAGAAAGCCACGGCUAACUACGUG
rnacentral:rRNA from 1 species